UACGGAGGGGGCUAGCGUUGUUCGGAAUUACUGGGCGUAAAGCGCACGUAGGCGGCUUUGCAAGUCAGAGGUGAAAGCCCGGGGCUCAACCCCGGAAUUGCCUUUGAGACUGCAUCGCUAGAAUUGUGGAGAGGUAAGUGGAAUUCCGAGUGUAGAGGUGAAAUUCGUAGAUAUUCGGAAGAACACCAGUGGCGAAGGCGACUUACUGGACACAUAUUGACGCUGAGACGCGAAAGCGUGGGGAGCGAACAGG
rnacentral:rRNA from 1 species